rnacentral:misc_RNA from 1 species
CACCUGUGAUUGGUAUAGGACAUGACUAAUUUAUUACUGUCUAUGGAAGUAAUCGUGAUAAUCAGUUCCGUCAUCUUUAUCAAUAUGUGUAAAUGGAAUAAUAUAGCUUUUCACUUGAAACGUAGUUUGCUACUGGGAAAUCAGCUUAAAUUUCCAUUGCAGCUUAGAAGUUAUUGAACGUGUGUCAUCCGAUACGUAUGAAUAAAGAAACACAGAAAAUAACGAACGUUUUAUUUAUAGCAAAUAUAUAAUAUAUAUUUUAUGCAAUAUGUAGAAAAAAAAUAGUGUUGAACUUUAUUUUGUAAUGUGAACAUUUGAUAAUACUAAGAAGGAUAUAGAAUGGAAAUGAAUUGUUAAUACAGAGAUAGCGUACUUUAGAAGAAACACGGUGAUUUGUUUGUGAAAUGUAUCUUAAAGUUAGGAACACAUGUAUUUGAUUCAGUAUUACAAGUGUAAAUAUAAACACAUGAUAAGGGGACUUAUUGAUCACGGAUUAUCCUUUUGAAACACAAAUCUUCUAAAGCAAAUAAAAUAUUGACCGUAUAUAUAUAUUGGAUAUAUAGUCCAGUUUGACAACACUUGAGGAAAAACGAAGAUGUAAGCCAAGUAAAAAUUUAGAUAUCGUCAAUGAUAUUGCUUUAGGAAAGACUUCAUAUACUUCGAUUCAAGUGGUUUAAAAAGAUAACGAUUUGUGAUUCAGUCAAAUAAAGUAGAAUACACUACAUUCCGUCAUCACACAUAAUUGGAUUUAAACAGAUAAAACAUAUCUUGUUGAAAAAAAAAAUUAGCGUGAAAAUACCGCUGACAUUUUUCAUAUAGAAAUGGGAAGAUCGAAUGAAACGAACUGUAUAUGAGCAAUGACGUCAGUACACUAUUUAAAGUUUUUUAACUAGAACUGGACAUGAAAAAUCGGAAAGUGUUACCAUGGAUACUAAUUAUGAUACUGAAGAGUUGUAUGUCAUCCACAACUGUCUCGUCAGAUUUUACCAUCCUUCCAUCACCUGACUUUUCUUCAAACUCUGGAGCAGACACAACAAAACAUGUUGAUUAUUCAUCAUCUUCUUCAUUUCCGAUGGAGACAACUCAGACACUCAUUUCGCCGCCAGUACGAACUAUGCAACCAAUAACAGCAAGUAGUACAGAUUUACCUUCGAUGCCUGGAUCAAAACUUACUAGCGACCAAACUAUCGGCGAAAGCUCCAAAUAUUCUAAUUUAGAAGCAAGUUUACAAACACACACUACAGUACCAACUGCAGACCUGUCGAAUACACUAACGGUAUCUUCAUCGCUAGUAAUAACACCGUCGAAAGCUUCCACUAGUAUUUCACAUGAAGUUUCGAGUUCUCAGAAUGAAAAUUCAACAACGGUUCUUACCACGACCGGAAAUAAAUCGGCAUAUGUAGAUACUUUUUCCAGUUCCUCUAUGGUUCCAAUCACAAGUUACAGCAUACUUCAGUCUUUUGAAUCUGGUAGUAUAUCGUUUUCGUAUGUAACAGAACCCUUAACAUCAGUAGAACUGAUUUCUAACAAGUUAUCGAAUUGUAACGGAACCACUAAGUUUUACUGCAAAUACAAGUUUUAGUCAAAAUGCUCUAGUAACAUCCGUAUAUAAAACAUUUGACAUAUAUUCUAAUUCUUCUAUAUUUUCAGUGAGUAGUCAUAGUAUAAACUCCCCAUUGCUAACAACAUUAUUUGUUUCAAAUACUUCUUCAACGUUCUCUAGUGUGGUAGAAUUAAGUAUGUCAUCACCAGACUUUACAGACAUUUCUACACUCGCUGUCGUAACAGAUUCAAAGUCAACCACUGAAUCACAAUUCUUUCUUUCAAUCUCAUCAGAGACUUUAGUCACACGUCGUAGGAAGCACAAUAGUGUCAACAGUAACUGAUAUUACAAAGUCUUUAAUUUCACCUUCAAAUGUAUUUAAUUUUACACCUACUCCGGCAGAAAAUGGCUCACAGAUAAUAAUGACAUCACGUUCUUCAUUUUCAAGCAUUGAAAUAAUUUCUUCAGUUCUUGUCAGUAGUUUAGAUUCCAACUUACCUGGUAUUUCAACAACAGAUAGUUAUUUAACCACACAUGGAAGUUUUAUAAGUGCAAUACCCACGAUAUCUACCGUUAGAAUUGACAGUAGUUUAUUAACUUCAGUUAAGCACUUGAUUUUAAACACCGAUUCAGUUGAAUUUUCUACAAAGAAGGACACUUCUAUAAAUGUGGCACAACCAACAUCACCUGCGAGACUAGAUAGCAGUUUAGUAUCCUUAUCAUCACAUUCCAGCAGUUUGUACACUCACUUAGCUAGUUCUUCAACUAUGGAGGAAAGUAUAACAACUUCUAUACCUUUAACUGUUAGAACAGAAAGUAGUAUAGCAUCUUCGACAACGCAUGCGAGUUUUAACACCGACUUAUCAAUCACCUUUAAACUGCCAGAAUCACCGACAACUUUGUCACUGUUAUCUACGGAACAUUUCUCGAGUGCAUCUCAAUCUUACUUAACAGUUUCAGGAGUUUCAGCAUUGUCCUCACCUACUUCCGAAAUGGUUACAGAUGUGACAUAUUCCACUAGUUAUUCAACAGCAACAGUAAUAGAAUCGGUGUCUUUGGUACCGUUUUCAUCAAUUAUCUUGAAUAACACUAGUAUUCCUACUAGUUUAACUACAUUACUCAGAUCAUCAACAUCACGAUCAAUAACAGAGUUGUUACCUGCAUCUGUAGUCUCCAUUACUGGAACUGUGGUUCGCACAUCAUUACAGACUACACCAGCAUUUUCAAACGUGGAAACAUCAGCUGUAACGCCGCACUCUUUACAUAGUUCGAAGUCUUUAUCCGAUGCAACAGUAAUAUUAGUGACCAGAACGGCCUCUUUAUUUUCAACAUCGCAAAGUUCAACGAAAGUCCUAGAAUCUUCGUUUUCUUUAUCACCGUUAGUGUCGGAAACAAUCAUGUCGUCGCGAACAUAUAGUUAUAGCUUUACGUCUUUGAUGUCAAAAACCUCUGAUUCUAAAUUGACUCUAUUUUCUACAUCUGUAGUUCAGUCUCCUUUAUCGUUGACAGUAAAGCCAAGCCCACAAUUUUCCGCGUCAUCGAAUGAAAAUAUUUCUGAAGCGACCCAGUCGGUUGCACAAACAUUUUCUUCUUUAAUCAACUGCUACUGUAACUAUGCCAGUAUCAGCUGUAACACAAAAUUUUACCUCAGCUAUAACUUCGACAUCGAUUUUAGAAUCUUCACUACUUCUCGAAUCAACCUCAGAACUAGCUUUGACAGCAACUCUGCCUUCAGCUUUGCCUUCUACAGUACCUCUCAGUUCUCAAUUAACACUUGAAACAAACUUCUUCUCAGAAAUUGACGUCUUCUCUGCAAGUGACACUAACUGUAGAUUCUUCUACUCUCCGAUUGACACCGACCCUGUUGUCAACACCAUUUCUGCAAUCGACACCAAUUCUAUCAUCGAAACCAACUCUGCAGUCGACACCAGUUCUGUCAUCGACACCAACUGUGCCCUUAACAGAGACUCUGUCAUCGACACCAACUCUGAAAUUGACAAUAACUCAACUAUCUAAACCAACUCGGCCAUCGACACCAGCUCUGUCAUCGACGCCACCUCGGCAAUCGACAACAACCCUGUCAUCGAAACAAGCUCUGUCAUCAGCAUCAACUUUGUCAUCGACACCAACUUUACAAUCAACACUAACCUUGCCUAUGACACCAACUCAGUCAUCGACACCGACUCUGCCAUCGACAAAGACUCAGCUAUCAAAACAAUCUUUGUCAGCAACACCAACUUUGCCAUCGAUGCCAUCUAUGUCAUCGACAACAACUCUCCCAUCAACACCAACUCUGUCAUCGACGCCAACUCUGCCAUCAGCACCAGCUCUGACAUCGACGACAACUUGGUCAUCUAAACUGACUCUUGCAUCGAAACAAACUCUGUCAUCAACACCAACUCUGCAAUCGACACAAUCUCUGCUAUCAACACCGACUCUGCUAUCGACCCUAACUCUAUCUACACCAACAGCUCUGUUUUCAACGAUUCUAAGUAAAAGUUCCGGUAUCGCAGAAGAAAUAACAAGACAAAUCCAAGCUGAUUCUACAACUGUGUCAUUAACAUAUUCAUCGGUUACUGGUCUGUCUACAAAUACAUCUGACAUGGAGAGAUCAACACUGUCUAUAUCGCCGUCUUUGUCAAUCUCUUCAAUGAUAAUGGAGUCAUUAAAUUCAUCUACAUUGACUGUAUCUGUAACAAGUAGUGCUCCAGUGACAACUACCAGUAUAAUUCCAACUACCACAAUACCACCUAAAACGACAACACUAAAUGGGACAAAUGCAAAUGAACGGUAUUGGGUGAGAACGGUAUUGAAAAUACAGCGCAAUAUAAAUGUAUCGGAUCCAACUUUUGUGAGCAACAUGGAAAAUGGUUUAGCAAAUGCAUUACAACGAGGCGUUUAUCAGGAAGAAACUCGUAGACGAGGGCAAGUUUGAGCCCUUACGAAGGAGACGUCGCCGAAAGAGAUAUACAAGCGUUGGAGAUGCUUCAGUACAUAUUCAUGACCUAAGUCGUACUGAAGCCACCACCACGGUAGGCGGCAGACUAUACCGUUGAGCAAUCGGGUAAAGUUUUAACAGCGGAUGAAGCGGUUGCAGCAUUGGAAGUGCUUGAUACACAAGAGCUCGCCAUCUUACUGAAGCAGGUGGUUGAUGUUAAGGCUGAAGCCUACAUUCAAACAGACAAACCAGACGAACCAGUAAAAGAUGACUCCCAGCUAUGGCUUUACGGUAUAAUCGCCGGAUCUAUAGCAGGGGUAGUCGUUGUGAUAUGGAUCAUCGUCUGUAUUUACUGUAAAUGCUGUCGGCAAAAGAACUCUGAAGAAGACGCUGAGCCAGAACUUACGUCCAUACAGCCGCAGCCAUCUAAACAAAAGACAUCGCCAGCGCGACCUUUACCUACCACUCCACGAAAGAAAACACUCAUUCCUCAAGGCAGCAAGUUCAGUUUGUGGAAAGGUCGUACCUACCUGAUAAAUGACGGCUAUGUGCCGGAAAAGGAAACAGAAGAGCAAACAUUGUUGAAAUCCCCGAGAAAAAAGGAGACACAAUCACCAGU